rnacentral:rRNA from 1 species
UACGGGGGGGGCAAGCGUUGUUCGGAAUUACUGGGCGUAAAGGGCUCGUAGGCGGCCAACUAAGUCAGACGUGAAAUCCCUCGGCUUAACCGGGGAACUGCGUCUGAUACUGGAUGGCUUGAAUCCGGGAGAUGGAUGCGGAAUUCCAGGUGUAGCGGUGAAAUGCGUAGAUAUCUGGAGGAACACCGGUGGCGAAGGCGGCAUCCUGGACCGGCAUUGACGCUGAGGAGCGAAAGCCAGGGGAGCAAACGGG